GUAGGUGGCAAGCGUUGUCCGGAAUUAUUGGGCGUAAAGCGCGCGCAGGCGGUCCCUUAAGUCUGAUGUGAAAGCCCACGGGCUCAACCGUGGAGGGUCAUUGGAAACUGGGGGACUUGAGUACAGAAGAGGAAAGCGGAAUUCCAAGUGUAGCGGUGAAAUGCGUAGAGAUUUGGAGGAACACCAGUGGCGAAGGCGGCUUUCUGGUCUGUAACUGACGCUGAGGCGCGAAAGCGUGGGGAGCAAACAGGAUCAGAUACCCUGGUAGUCCACGCCGUAAACGAUGAGUGCUAAGUGUUAGGGGGUUUCCGCCCCUUAGUGCUGCAGCUAACGCAUUAAGCACUCCGCCUGGGGAGUACGGCCGCAAAGGCUG
rnacentral:rRNA from 1 species